ACUGUAGCUCAGUUGGUAGAGCAGCUGAUUCGUAAUCAGCAGGUCGCAGGUUCGAGUCCCGUCAGU
rnacentral:tRNA from 1 species